UUUAAUGAGAGUUUGAUCCUGGCUCAGGACGAACGCUGGCGGCGUGCCUAAUACAUGCAAGUAGAACGCUGAUGUUUGGUGUUUACACUAGACUGAUGAGUUGCGAACGGGUGAGUAACGCGUAGGUAACCUGCCUCAUAGCGGGGGAUAACUAUUGGAAACGAUAGCUAAUACCGCAUAAGAGUGAUUAACACAUGUUAGUUAUUUAAAAGGAGCAAUUGCUUCACUGUGAGAUGGACCUGCGUUGUAUUAGCUAGUUGGUGAGGUAAAGGCUCACCAAGGC
rnacentral:rRNA from 1 species